CAGCGCGCUAGCGUAUCUAGUCUAUGUGUAUCUAUGGUCGGCACGUCUGGGAGCAUCUCUGGCUGCUGUUGACCUUGUUUUUGGAGUAAAACACGGUGGAAGCUGAAUUAGUGAGGAUGACUCCUGCUCCUGUCAUCUCUAAGCUCCUCACACAUCUUUACCUGCACAUGAGGAAAAUCACUCCUGUAGAAUGCAGUGGUUCAUCAGAACCUCUGGGGAUGUCCUGUGGAUUCUGUGGAUCCUGUAGGUUGCAGGGUGGAUCCUACCUAGACCAGGCUGAUCCUGGACCAUCCCACAGAUGCUCAAUCAGAUCUGGAUGUGGGGAGUGUGGAACCCAGAUGUUCAGAGGGAGAUGAUGCCACAUCUGGUCCAGCUGAUGGAAGGUCUUGAAGUUCUCUGACUGGCCUCGACUGAAGAUGGUCGUCUCACUGGAUUUAAGGUUCAGAUGCUCAGUAACAAACUCCACCAAUGAGCCAACAGGGAAGCUUUAGGUUUAUUAAAUGUUGCUAUGAAGGUUUCGCUGUUUUUCUUUGUGAAUGCAAUGUGCUCCAACUGAAACUUGAAUUAGAACUUAGAAGUAAAUCCUUCCAUCUGAAAGGAUUUAGUUGCAUUAAUAACCUCAUAACAUUCUAAUUUUUAUUCCAGUCUUGGUUGGAAAUAGAAUCUCUGUAUUGAUUCAGGUAAAAACUGAACUUCACAGCAUGUUGGAGCAAAACAACCAGAUGAAAACUGUGAUGGUGUUGGAUUGUCAGACCGUAAUGUUGCAGCUCAAAGCAGCUUUUCUAUCUCAGUUCAUUCUGACAUUCAUCUAUGAAUCAACACAGCAGAUGGUGAUCCAUGCUGUGGAAGUCUCACAUCUCCUGAUUUAAUGGCGCUGCUUUGCACUUUUUACACUAUUUAUUCACCAACACUUUAUUUAAUAAAAGUCCCAUCUAGUUUUUAUGAGGAAUGUGAUGUUUUAAUUUCUCUGUGAAUAACUGCAGUCUAAUGGAACAGUUGGAGUUGUAACAUCUGUCCUGAUAUUGAUCAUGAAGUAUUGAUCAGAAUACUUAUGGUUAGCAGUCAUCCCUGAAGUUUUACAUUAAAAUCUUUACUUGUGUUGUGAACUUUGGUAAGAAGCAGAAACAUUAGCGUUGCCAUGGAUACAUGAGUGUUAAAUUCUGUCCAUGUUUCCAUUUUGGGAAAUGCAGUCCAGUUCCAGAAUGUGGAGGAAUUUAGUCUCACAAUCACAGACAACAAAUAUUAUCUGAAAGUUGGGUUAUUGUUGUUUAUCAGCACAAUACAAAAAGAUUAAUAUUAGAAAUAUUCCAGUUAAGACUCUAGAAUAUCAUGAUUUAUGUAAAUUUACCUCAAUAAUAUGAAUGUUGAGGUUAAGAUUGUACAGUGAUAUUAUGUAAGUUUAGCUGAUUAAAGUUUAUGACUCUGCACUAAAAUAUUAUUUAAAUUGACAUCAUUAUUAUAAUAUUUAGGGUCAGACCCUACGGUAUUGAGAUUAAGAAAUCAAACAGUCUAUAAAAUGUAAAUACACUGAACUCAUUUGGAUAUAUUUAAGUGAGACUCUACAAUAUUAUUUGACACAAAUCUAAAUCAAAAUUUUAAUAAUUUUCACGCCAAACAUUUAUUUGACUGAUUUAAAUAUUAAAAUCACUCCUUUCUAAUCCUCUGCUGUACGUUCAAACCUGAGGCCUUAAAUAGAAACACACAAGUAUCUGAUUGAAGGAACUUCUGCAGAGUCCUGGUUCCAGAACAUGAUGAUAGAAUUAUAGACAAACUUUAACAAAAGCUGCCUGAGAGUUUACAGCUUUUUAUGUUGGAUUUCUUCAGUAAUUUAAUGAGCGUUGUCAGCAAUAAUCAAGGGUUAAUGUGAUGAACUUCAUUUCCUAAAACAUCCAGAAUUGGAGCUCAUAUCUUUGGCAGCUGUAAAGUUUCUGCUCCUUCAAAGUUCACAACACAAUGAAUGAAUUCCUAAAACACUCUCAAUGCUGGAGAGCGUUUGUGAUGCUGAAGCAGUGAUCAGUUUUUCUGUUUCUUCUCUGGAGAUGCACAAUGAGGGACGUCUGCAGAGACUGAGAAAGAGUCUCACCACAUCCUGACAUGAGGAAAAAGACUUCAUUGAAGACUACAAUGAGAAAAACUAUCAGACAGCAGACAGCUGCAUUCAAGGUGAGCUCUGAACAUUUGAUCUGGAACAGGAAUUCAAUAACGGCAGCAUGAGCUUCAUUUCAGUCUGUAGCUGCUGAAUUCAUGGAUGAAUCAUCUGGCACUAGAGAGGAAGACCAUCAAACAUCCACGUCAGCUGAUGGAGGUCCAAGAGUCUCACCGAACAACCAACUUACAGAGUGAAGACCUCAAAUCUGAUUGGACGUCCUCCUAUUCAGCCACAUGUGUGAACAAAUGCCUCUAAGCUGAUUUGUUUUCUAAAAUAAAUCUAGUUUGAGUCCUAAUCUAUGCCUGUGUGUUUGCUUCUUUACACUGCUGUUAACAGUUUAGGCUGUUAGAUUGUUCCAGAUAAGACAAGUA